CAGCCGUAAACAAUGUGCGUUAGGUGUGUCGGUAACCACGCGUUACUGAUGCGCCGAAGAGAAAUCGUGAAACGCACCACCUGGGAAGUACGGUCGCAAGGCUGAAACUUAAAGGAAUUGGCGGGGGAGCACCACAACAGGUGGAGCCUGCGGUUUAAUUGGAUUCAACGCCGGACAUCUCACCGGAUAAGACAACUGAAUGAUUGUCAAUCUGAAGGUUUUACAUGACUAGCUGAGAGGAGGUGCAUGGCGUCAGUGACU
rnacentral:rRNA from 1 species